GACGGAGGAUGCAAGCGUUAUCCGGAAUGAUUGGGCGUAAAGCGUCCGCAGGUGGCAGUUCAAGUCUGCUGUCAAAGACCGGGGCUUAACUUCGGAAAGGCAGUGGAAACUGAACAGCUAGAGUAUGGUAGGGGCAGAGGGAAUUCCUGGUGUAGCGGUGAAAUGCGCAGAUAUCAGGAGGAACACCAGUGGCGAAGGCGCUCUGCUAGGCCGUAACUGACACUGAGGGACGAAAGCUAGGGGAGCGAAUGGG
rnacentral:rRNA from 1 species